AUGAUUAAACAAUUAAAAGCUUUCUUUAAUUGAAUAAUUGAAUUUAAUUUUUUAGUGCAAAAGCAAAAAUAAAAAUUAGGGACAAGAAGACCCUAUGAAUUUUUUAUUAAAUUUUAUAAAACUUUAUAUAAAAUUUAAUUUAAUUGGGGUGAUGGAAAAAGAAUAAAUAUCUUUUUUUUUAAAAAAAAUUGGUUCCGUUUUUAGCGAUUAAAUGAAAAAAAUACUCUAGGGAUAACAGCGUAAUAAUUUUGGAUAGUUCAUAUAAAUAAAAUAGUUUGCGACCUCGAUGUUGGAUUAGGAUUCUUUUUUGGUGAAAAAGUUAAAAAAAGAAGUUUGUUCAACUUAUAAUUUCCUACUUGAUCUGAGUUCAAACCGG
rnacentral:rRNA from 1 species